AGAGUUUGAUCCUGGCUCAGAUUGAACGCUGGCGGCAUGCUUUACACAUGCAAGUCGAACGGCAGCGCGGGCUUCGGCCUGGCGGCGAGUGGUGAACGGGUGAGUAAUACAUCGGAGCGUGCCCUGUAAUGGGGGAUAGCUCGGGGAAAGCCGGAUUAAUACCGCAUACCACCUGAUGGUGAAAGCGGGGGAUCUUCGGACCUCGCGCUAUUGGAGCGGCCGAUGGCUCAUUAGCUAGCUGGUGGGGGAAAGGCCUACCAAGGCGACGAUCUGUAGACUGGUCUGAGAGGACGACCAGCCGCACUGGGACUGAGACACGGACCAGACUCCUACAGGAGGCAGCAAUGGGGAAUUUUGGACUAUGGGCGAAAGCCUGAUCCACCGAUGCCGCGUGUGUGAUGAAGGCCUUCGGGUUGUAAAGCACUUUUGGUGGGAACGAAUAGGACUGUGCCAAUACCACGGUUCGAUGACGGUACCCGCAGAAUAAUCACCGGCUAACUACGUGCCAGCAGCCGCGGUAAUACGUAUGGUGCAAGCGUUAGUCGGAAUUACUGGUGGUAGAGAGUGCGCACGCGGGUUUGCAAGAGCGAUGUGAAAUCUCCGGGCUUAACCUGGGAACUGCAUUGGUGACUGCAAGGCUAGAGUGUGUCAGAUGGAGGUGGAAUUCCGCAUGUAGCAGUGAUAUGCAUAAAUAUGCAGAGGAACACCGAUGGCGAAGGCAGCCUCCUGGGAUAACACUGACGCUCAUGCACGAAAGGGUGGGGCGCAAACAGGAUUAGAUGUCGUGCUAGUCCUCGCCCUAAGCCAUGUGUAGUAGUUGUCGGGGAUUAAUUUCCUUGGUAACGCAGCUACCGCGUGAAGUAGACCGCCUGGGGAGUACGGUCGCAAGAUUAAAACUCAAAGGAAUUGACGGGGAGCCCCACAAGCGGUGGAUGAUGUGGAUUAAUUCGAUGCAACGCGAAAAACCUUACGUCCGCCUGACAUGUCCGGAACCCUGAAGAGAUUUGGGGGUGCUCGAAAGAGAGCCGGAACACAGCUGCUGCAUGGCUGUCGUCAGCUCGUGUCGUGAGAUGAAGGGUUAAGUCCCGCAACGAGCGCAACCCUUAUCAUUAGUUGCUACGCAAGGGCACUCUAAUGAGACUGCCGGUGACAAUCCGGAGGAAGGUGGGGAUGACGUCAAGUCCUCAUGGCCCUUAUUUGUAGGGCUUCACACGUCAUCCAAUGGUCGGUACAGAGGGUUGGGAAGCCGCGAGGUGGAGCCAAUCCCAAAAACCCGAUCGUAGUCCGGAUUGCAGUCUGCAAUUGGACUCCAGGAAGUGGGAAUCGUUAGUAAUCGCGGAUCAGCAUGCCGCGGUGAAUACGUUCCCGGGUCUGUACACACCGCCCGUCA
rnacentral:rRNA from 1 species